CAUUUAAUGCGGGACGGCAUAGAACGCCGUAACGGCGUUAAGGGGUUAAUGUGCGUAUUGUUGUUGUUAUGUGGAUAUGUCUAGAUAAUAAGGAAGAAAUAGCUGGUACUGCUUUUAUUCUUUCUGCUUUUGGUACUAAGGAAACAAAAAUAAAGAUAUGUUAAAAAAGUUCAUAACAAUACAAUUUAAGAAAAAGACUGAACAAGUAUGGUUUGUUUAGAGGGUUUGCCAGUGGAAGUUAAAAAGAACAUGGCAGCACAACUUAGGUUUGCAAAGUUGCAUCUGAACAAACAACAAGAAUUCUGGACAAUGUCCUUUGGACAGACAAGACCAAAGUGGUGAUGUUUGGGAAUAAUGCACAGGCUCACGUUUGGCAAAAACCAACAGAAGCAUAUCAGCACAAACACCUUAUGCCAAAUGUAACGGGGAAAUCUUGCAGUCAUUGAGUCAACCAUGAACUCAACUGUAUACCAAAGUAUUUUAAAAUCAAAGGUGAGGUCAUCUGUCUGACCGCUAAAGCUUGGCCAAAAAUGGGUCAUGCAACAGGACAAUGAUCCCAAGCACACCAGCAAAUCUACAACAGAAUGGCUGAAAAAGUAAAGAAUCGAGGUGUUGCAAUGGCCCAGUCAAAGUCCGGAUCUCAACCUGAUUGUAAUGCUGUGGUGGAUCCUGAAGAGACCUGAGCAUAAACAAAUGUCCGCAAACCUCAAUGAACUGAAGCAAUGUGUAAUGAAGAGUGGGCCAAAAUUCCUCCAGAACGAUGUGAGAGACUGAUAAAGUCAUACAGAAAAUGAUAAUUUCAAGUUAAUUCUGCUACAGGUGGGUCUACAAGAUAUUGAAUUAUAAGGUGUACUUAGUUUUUCACACAUGGAUUCUCCAUUUUGGCUUUAUUUGAAAACUUGCUAAGGGACCGAUGUUAUGCCCUGAUAUGUAAAACCAUAGAAUUUAAAGUGGGCGUGUUUUCUUUUUCCCAUUACUCUAUAUGUGAUUUUAUACAAUGGUAUACAUUCUAGAUGGGUGACGAUUCCCCUUUUAUGGAUUAAAUGUUGCCCUUUGCCAUCAUUACAAUUUAGUCACUGGAUACAGAUCUAGAUAUAUUAAUAUGGAAUGCCCUUUUCAUUUUGCUUUUGGAGCACCAUUUAAUCCUCCAGUUCUUAUCCACAUGAGGGGUUUCAUAUUAGAAUGGAAUCCUUAUAGAACAGAUGACUAAGAUGACUAUGAGGUAUAGACAGUCGUCGUCCUUUUGGAGUUAAACAAAUACAAUUAUACAGCACAGAUAUUUUAUAUCUAAAUCUCUGCAUUUGAUUUGUACUCUAUUAAAGUUUUAUAUUGUCUACCUGUUUACUGUCUACCUACAGGCGAACCCUCCAAGC